rnacentral:rRNA from 1 species
UACGUAGGCAGCGAGCGUUUGUUCGGAAUUAUUGGGCGUAAAGAGUGUGUAGGCGGUGCUCCAAGUCUGUUGUGAAAUCUCCCGGCUUAACUGGGAGGGUGCGGCGGAAACUGGAAUGCUAGAGGGUGGGAGAGGUAAGCGGAAUUCCUGGUGUAGCGGUGAAAAUGCGUAGAUAUCAGGAGGAACACCUGUGGUGUAGACAGCUUACUGGACCACUUCUGACGCUGAGACACGAAAGCGUGGGUAGCAAACAGG